rfam:Rattus norvegicus chromosome 4, whole genome shotgun sequence.
GGGGAUUUAGCUCAGUGGUAGAGCGCUUGCCUAGCAAGCACAAGGCCUGGGUUCAGUCCCCA